AAGCGGGGAUACUCAUAUAAGACGAGAAGACCCCAUGGAGCUUCAAACCCAACUACACCCCUAGCUCUUAUAGCCCCACAACCCCCCUAGGCACCGUGUGCUUGGUUUUAGGUUGGGGCGACCGCGGAGUACAAUAAAACCUCCACAAUGAAUGGGAACACCCCCUUAUCUGAGGGCCACACCCCCUAAGAAUUAGAACACUAACAUAAAAUGAUCCAUUACUUGAUCAAUGAACCAAGUUACCCUGGGGAUAACAGCGCAAUCCAUUUCAAGAGCCCCUAUCGACAAAUGGGUUUACGACCUCGAUGUUGGAUCAGGGUACCCCAGUGGUGCAGCAGCUACUAACGGUUCGUUUGUUCAACGAUUAAAACCCU
rnacentral:rRNA from 1 species